GGGAGUGUGUGCAAGUUGUCUAUUUCAAGAAUAGAUUGGAUCUAUCCGGCUGCACUUUAUAAUAUUUUUUAGUAUUUUUCGGAUAAAUAAGAAAAGGGUGCACAGACUCCUACCGGAGGCAACAGUGGGGAAUUUUCCGCAAUGGGCGAAAGCCUGACGGAGCAAUGCCGCAUGGAGGUGGAAGGCCUACGGGUCGUCAACUUCUUUUCUUGAAGAAGAAACAAUGACGGUAUCUGAGGAAUAAGCAUCGGCUAACUCUGUGCCAGCAGCCGUGGUAAGACAGAGGAUGCA
rnacentral:ncRNA from 1 species